rnacentral:rRNA from 1 species
CCUACGGUGGGCUGCAGUAGGGAAUAUUGCACAAUGGAGGCAACUCUGAUGCAGCGACGCCGCGUGAGUGAUGAAGGCCUUCGGGUUGUAAAGCUCUGUCGUCUGGGAAUAAAAAAAUGAAGGUACCAUACAAGAAAGAAUCGGCUACCUUCGUGCCAGCAGCCGCGGUAAGACGUGGGAUCCUCGCGUUGUUCGGAAUCAUUGGGCGUAAAGCGGGUGCAGGUGGCUUAGUAAGUCAAGUGUGAAAGCCCAGGGCUCAACCCUGGAAGUGCAUUUGAUACUGCUGAGCUUGAGUGCGAGAGAGGUUACCAGAAUUCCUGGUGUAGUGGUGAAAUACGCAGAGAUCAGGAGGAAUACCGGAGGCGAAGGCGGGUAACUGGCUCGACACUGACACUCAGACCCGAAAGCGUGGGGAUCAAACAGGAUUAGAUACCCCAGUAGUC